GGUUUCUGGAAUCUGGACUGACUGGUUUCAGUAACUCAUAGCCUGUACCUAAAAGGAGAAAUCUUAGGCCUUAGUUUUAGGGUGAAAGCAUUUUGGUCUUAUUUUGGUUCCACAUUAGCACCUUUAGUUUUUGCUCUUUGAAAAGUUCCAGGUACUUUCUGAAGAAUCUCUUUCUCCUAUGCAGUCUCACAAGGUCGGUCAGUCCUGCUCACCUGUGAAUCAAAACAAAGAGCCCUGAAUGGAGAAGAGAUAGGACCAAAGGAUCCAGACAAAUUCCGAGGCCAAUCCACAGGGAACUCUCCAGAUACAGCAGCCUCUGCAACCGCUUCAAGGACACCAACCAGAUCAUAAGGACACCAAAUGCUGAAAGAGAAGAAAUCUUUUAAAAGAUACACCAUGAAUGUCGAUAGUGAUAAAGAAGAUGGGAGGCCACAGUUUUGAAAGAAAGAAGACCAUGAACAACAUAGAAAAUGAAUAAUUCCCAGCGGCCCUACAGAGAAUCCACCACACAACAGCAGAAGAUGCCCAGUCUUCCCUAACUCCAAGGAGCAUUCUCCAGUGUGGAAAAGACUUUGAAAGAGAACAAGUUCUCAAGCCUAGCAAAGAUCAAUGCUUGAAAUUUUUUAUUUUCUUACCUAACUGGAAUGCAAAUAACAACAUCAAAAAGAAAAUAAAAUACAUAAAUGACCAAUGAAAA